rnacentral:lncRNA from 1 species
AAGACUGUUUGGCUGCACAUGGCUGAUCAAGUCCCUCUUCGUCUACUUCCUUCCCCUGGUUGUUUUCCCUGCCUUACUUUCUUCCAAUCCCUGUCUUCAGGAUCACUCCAAGCUGUGUUGCUUCAGAGAGAAGUUGCUAAGAAGGCUUCUGUUGCAAAUGGCACAAGCUGAAUGUUUCCCAGUGCCAGGCAAUCCCUCACCCAAGACAACUUGUACAGGCCCUUCACAUCCUCUUGGUGCUUUUUCAACACAGCAGCUGUACAGGCUGACUUCUGUCAAUCUGUGUUUUCCAAAGCACCAUCUAUUGAAAAGUCUCUUAUUUCUCCAUUAAAUUUUUUGGCACCUUCAUUGAAAAUCAGUCGAGCAUAAAUGUAAGUAACUAUUUCUGUAUUCUCAAUUCCAUUCCAUUGAUCUGUGUGUUUAUACUAAUGCCAGCACUACACUGUCUAGAUUACUGUACUUUUGUAUUGUUUAUCAAUCAGAAAGUUGGAAGCGAGUUUUCCAACUUUUUUCUUUAACUUUGUUCUUUGUUUUGGCUAUUUGUGGUACUUUGGAAUUUCUUAAAAAUUUUAGGAAAAAUUUGUCAAUUUGUAAAGAAUAAAGGCAGCAAGAAUUGUGUUGCAUGUGUAGACCAAUUUGGGAGUGUUGCCAUCUUAACAAUAUUAAGUCUUUUAUUCCAUGACAAUGUGAUGUGAUUCUAUUUAUGUAGGUCUUUAUUUUCUCCCAAUGAUAUUUUGUUGUUUUUAUACAAAAAUUUUACAUCUAUUGGUAAUUUUGCCAGGUGUAGUGGCUCAU